UACUAGAGUAGCACUCGCAUAUCAAUAAGCGGAGGAAAAGAAACUAACAAGGAUUCCCCUAGUAACGGCGAGUGAAGCGGGAAGAGCUCAAAUUUGAAAUCUUAAAGGGUUUCCCUUUACGAAUUGUAGUUUAAAGAAGUGUUUUCUGUUGAGGUUUUGGUAAAAGUUCUUCGGAAUAGGACAUCAUAGAGGGUGAGAAUCCCGUAUUUGACCUUUACUUUCAACUUUGUGAUACACUUUCAAAGAGUCGGAUUGUUUGGGAAUGCAGUCCAAAAUGGGUGGUAAAUUUCAUCUAAAGCUAAAUAUUGGCGAGAGACCGAUAGCGAACAAGUACCGUGAGGGAAAGAUGAAAAGAACUUUGAAAAGAGAGUUAAACAGUACGUGAAAUUGUCAAAAGGGAAGCGUUUGACACCAGUGUUGUUUUUCUGAAAAUCAAUUAAAGAACUGUUUAUGCUAAGUUGUUUAGACUUUAUCAGCUAUCUGCUUAGUUUUGAGCUUUUCUUUAAUGCACUUUUCAGUUAACAAGUCAACAUCAAUUUCCUUUUGCUGUAAAAAAGCUUGAGGAAGGUGGCUUGAGAUUCGUCUUAAGUGUUUAUAGCCUCUUGCCUAUGCAGUCGGAGAGAUUGAGGUCUGCAGCGUAGAUCCUUCGGGGCUAAAUGCAUUUGUGCUAAGUUAUAGCAUUUUAUAGACAACUUGUUGACUAUGAUUUGUCUUGUAGCUUACUCGCUUAUGUUAUUUUACCUACGCUUAGGAUGUUGAACUCUAUCACACACAG
rnacentral:rRNA from 1 species